CCUACGGGUGGCAGCAGUGGGGGAUAUUGCACAAUGGGGGGAACCCUGAUGCAGCGACGCCGCGUGGGUGAAGAAGGGCCUCGGCGCGUAAAGCCCUGUCAGCAGGGAAGAAAAUGACGGUACCUGAAGAAGAAGCCCUGGCUAACUCCGUGCCAGCAGCCGCGGUAAUACGUAGGGGACAAGCGUUAUCCGGAUUUACUGGGUGUAAAGGGGGCGUAGACGGCGAUGCAAGGCAGGAGUGAAUGCCCGGGGCCCAACCCCGGGACUGCUCUUGGAACUGCGUGGCGAGAGUGCAGGAGGGGCAGGCGGAAUUCCUGGUGUAGCGGUGAAAUGCGUAGAUAUCAGGAGGAACACCGGUGGCGAAGGCGGCCUGCUGGACUGCAACUGACGUUGAGGCCCGAAAGCGUGGGGAGCAAACAGGAUUAGAUACCCCAGUAGUC
rnacentral:rRNA from 1 species